rnacentral:rRNA from 1 species
UUAAGCGACUAAGCGUACACGGUGGAUGCCCUGGCAGUCAGAGGCGAUGAAGGACGUGCUAAUCUGCGAUAAGCGUCGGUAAGGUGAUAUGAACCGUUAUAACCGGCGAUUUCCGAAUGGGGAAACCCAGUGUGAUUCGUCACACUAUCAUUAACUGAAUCCAUAGGUUAAUGAGGCGAACCGGGGGAACUGAAACAUCUAAGUACCCCGAGGAAAAGAAAUCAACCGAGAUUCCCCCAGUAGCGGCGAGCGAACGGGGAGCAGCCCAGAGCCUGAAUCAGUGUGUGUGUUAGUGGAAGCGUCUGGAAAGGCGCGCGAUACAGGGUGACAGCCCCGUACACAAAAAUGCACAUGCUGUGAGCUCGAUGAGUAGGGCGGGACACGUGGUAUCCUGUCUGAAUAUGGGGGGACCAUCCUCCAAGGCUAAAUACUCCUGACUGACCGAUAGUGAACCAGUACCGUGAGGGAAAGGCGAAAAGAACCCCGGCGAGGGGAGUGAAAAAGAACCUGAAACCGUGUACGUACAAGCAGUGGGAGCACGCUUAGGCGUGUGACUGCGUACCUUUUGUAUAAUGGGUCAGCGACUUAUAUUCUGUAGCAAGGUUAACCGAAUAGGGGAGCCGAAGGGAAACCGAGUCUUAACUGGGCGUUAAGUUGCAGGGUAUAGACCCGAAACCCGGUGAUCUAGCCAUGGGCAGGUUGAAGGUUGGGUAACACUAACUGGAGGACCGAACCGACUAAUGUUGAAAAAUUAGCGGAUGACUUGUGGCUGGGGGUGAAAGGCCAAUCAAACCGGGAGAUAGCUGGUUCUCCCCGAAAGCUAUUUAGGUAGCGCCUCGUGAAUUCAUCUCCGGGGGUAGAGCACUGUUUCGGCAAGGGGGUCAUCCCGACUUACCAACCCGAUGCAAACUGCGAAUACCGGAGAAUGUUAUCACGGGAGACACACGGCGGGUGCUAACGUCCGUCGUGAAGAGGGAAACAACCCAGACCGCCAGCUAAGGUCCCAAAGUCAUGGUUAAGUGGGAAACGAUGUGGGAAGGCCCAGACAGCCAGGAUGUUGGCUUAGAAGCAGCCAUCAUUUAAAGAAAGCGUAAUAGCUCACUGGUCGAGUCGGCCUGCGCGGAAGAUGUAACGGGGCUAAACCAUGCACCGAAGCUGCGGCAGCGACGCUGAUGCGUUGUUGGGUAGGGGAGCGUUCUGUAAGCCUGCGAAGGUGUGCUGUGAGGCAUGCUGGAGGUAUCAGAAGUGCGAAUGCUGACAUAAGUAACGAUAAAGCGGGUGAAAAGCCCGCUCGCCGGAAGACCAAGGGUUCCUGUCCAACGUUAAUCGGGGCAGGGUGAGUCGACCCCUAAGGCGAGGCCGAAAGGCGUAGUCGAUGGGAAACAGGUUAAUAUUCCUGUACUUGGUGUUACUGCGAAGGGGGGACGGAGAAGGCUAUGUUGGCCGGGCGACGGUUGUCCCGGUUUAAGCGUGUAGGCUGGUUUUCCAGGCAAAUCCGGAAAAUCAAGGCUGAGGCGUGAUGACGAGGCACUACGGUGCUGAAGCAACAAAUGCCCUGCUUCCAGGAAAAGCCUCUAAGCAUCAGGUAACAUCAAAUCGUACCCCAAACCGACACAGGUGGUCAGGUAGAGAAUACCAAGGCGCUUGAGAGAACUCGGGUGAAGGAACUAGGCAAAAUGGUGCCGUAACUUCGGGAGAAGGCACGCUGAUAUGUAGGUGAAGUCCCUCGCGGAUGGAGCUGAAAUCAGUCGAAGAUACCAGCUGGCUGCAACUGUUUAUUAAAAACACAGCACUGUGCAAACACGAAAGUGGACGUAUACGGUGUGACGCCUGCCCGGUGCCGGAAGGUUAAUUGAUGGGGUCAGCGCAAGCGAAGCUCUUGAUCGAAGCCCCGGUAAACGGCGGCCGUAACUAUAACGGUCCUAAGGUAGCGAAAUUCCUUGUCGGGUAAGUUCCGACCUGCACGAAUGGCGUAAUGAUGGCCAGGCUGUCUCCACCCGAGACUCAGUGAAAUUGAACUCGCUGUGAAGAUGCAGUGUACCCGCGGCAAGACGGAAAGACCCCGUGAACCUUUACUAUAGCUUGACACUGAACAUUGAGCCUUGAUGUGUAGGAUAGGUGGGAGGCUUUGAAGUGUGGACGCCAGUCUGCAUGGAGCCGACCUUGAAAUACCACCCUUUAAUGUUUGAUGUUCUAACGUUGACCCGUGAUCCGGGUUGCGGACAGUGUCUGGUGGGUAGUUUGACUGGGGCGGUCUCCUCCUAAAGAGUAACGGAGGAGCACGAAGGUUGGCUAAUCCUGGUCGGACAUCAGGAGGUUAGUGCAAUGGCAUAAGCCAGCUUGACUGCGAGCGUGACGGCGCGAGCAGGUGCGAAAGCAGGUCAUAGUGAUCCGGUGGUUCUGAAUGGAAGGGCCAUCGCUCAACGGAUAAAAGGUACUCCGGGGAUAACAGGCUGAUACCGCCCAAGAGUUCAUAUCGACGGCGGUGUUUGGCACCUCGAUGUCGGCUCAUCACAUCCUGGGGCUGAAGUAGGUCCCAAGGGUAUGGCUGUUCGCCAUUUAAAGUGGUACGCGAGCUGGGUUUAGAACGUCGUGAGACAGUUCGGUCCCUAUCUGCCGUGGGCGCUGGAGAACUGAGGGGGGCUGCUCCUAGUACGAGAGGACCGGAGUGGACGCAUCACUGGUGUUCGGGUUGUCAUGCCAAUGGCACUGCCCGGUAGCUAAAUGCGGAAGAGAUAAGUGCUGAAAGCAUCUAAGCACGAAACUUGCCCCGAGAUGAGUUCUCCCUGACCCUUUAAGGGUCCUGAAGGAACGUUGAAGACGACGACGUUGAUAGGCCGGGUGUGUAAGCGCAGCGAUGCGUUGAGCUAACCGGUACUAAUGAACCGUGAGGCUUAACCU